AGGAUAAACGCUGGCGGCGUGCCUAACACAUGCAAGUCGAACGCGCUUGCUAUCCGCGAGGACGGUGAGCGAGUGGCGGACGGGUGAGGAACACGUGGGUGACCUACCUUUCAGUGAGGGAUACCGGCGAGAAAUUGCCGACAAGACCGCAUACGCUUCUCUUUUCAAGGGGAGAAGGAAAGCUUUUCGCAAGAGAGGCGCUGGGAGAUGGGCCUGCGGCCGAUUAGCUAGCUGGUGGGGUAAUGGCCUACCAGGGCGACGAUCGGUAGCUGGUCUGAGAGGACGAUCAGCCACACUGGGAUUGAGAACGGCCCAGACUCCUACGGGGGGCAGCAGUGAGGAAUUUUCGGCAAUGGGGGCAACCCUGACCGAGCAACGCCGCGUGCAGGACGACGGCCUUCGGUUGUAAACUGCUUUUCUCUGGGACGAGCAAGGACGGUACCAGAGGAGAAGCCCGGCUAACUACGUGCCAGCAGCCGC
rnacentral:rRNA from 1 species